rnacentral:rRNA from 1 species
UGGGGAAUCUUGCACAAUGGGGGCAACCCUGAUGCAGCGACGCCGCGUGAGCGAUGAAGCCCUUCGGGGCGUAAAGCUCUUUCGACCGGAACGAUAAUGACGGUACCGGGAGAAGAAGCUGCGGCUAACUACGUGCCAGCAGCCGCGGUAAUACGUAGGCAGCAAGCGUUGUUCGGAGUUACUGGGCGUAAAGAGUGCGUAGGCGGUUUUCUAAGUUCGGUGUGAAAUCUCCCGGCUUAACUGGGAGGGUGCGCCGAAGACUGGGAAGCUGGAGUGUGGGAAAGGCAGGCGGAAUUCCUGGUGUAGCGGUGAAAUGCGUAGAUAUCAGGAGGAACACCGGCGGUGUAGACGGCUUGCUAGACCAUAACGGACGCUGAGGCACGAAAGCGUGGGUAGCAAACA